ACUUUCUAAAGACGUUGAGGGGUACACUUCAGGGGUACACCCGGCUGCACACCAGCUGUUUGGCGCCUCACUGCUGUGUGCCCAAAUGUAGUCCUACGUCCUCAAAGAGAAACAAAUCCUACCGUGGACAGACUUUCCACCGUUUCGCCAAAGAGCAGGCACUUCGGCGUGAAUGAAUUAAUCACAUCAAGAGGGAUCCUCGUCCAUAUUUCAAGAUCAACGCUGAGACCGAGGUUUGAUCUGAGCACGUUGAGAAGCAAUGCUUUGUUAAGGUCACCCGUGGUAUGACAACGCUAAUAAAGGAUGCUGUGCCUGCCAACUUUGUUCGCCUGGACUUCAGAGAAGCCAAAGAGGAGAAUCAUCAUUCGCAUACCGUGUAUGGAUUCCAUGGAGUAUUCCAUCGAGUAUUUCUUCUGUUUCAAUCGUCUUGGUGAAGUUUUUGAGCUGGAUCUGGAUUCUGCUGAGGAUUCGUCGACUACUAGAUGGCGAGCCACCCACUCAUUCGAAUGUGAUCCUGUUCUACAUUGCGCAUGGCAUAUUUGGUAGGAUUGUGGCCUGCUCGUGUCACAUCACUGACUAUGACUGACUUAAACGCCUUGAACUGAACUGCUUGAAAGGAGCUAUUUUUCUUUUUGAACAACUUAAAGGAACUCUCUACAUCGUCUCUUUUGAGGAUUUAAAGGACUAUUUCCAAUUUUUGAAGGACAAUUCAAUUUUUUUUUUUUUAAA